ensembl:lncRNA
CUCCAACCUAAGUGUAUGUAUGUAAACUUCCGACUUCAACUGUAUAUUUAGGAGACAUUGAUGAGAAAGAAUGGCCAAGUGUUGAUUUUUGUAAAAACAGAGGUAGAGGUUGUGGUGAAGAGGGACAGGACACCACCCUGAGGACCAGUCAGGCUGACCAAUGAGAACGCACUACUUGACACCACCUUGGAGACAGCGAUCAGCAAGGACAGGAAUUACCCAAGUACAGUCCCACUCAGCAGCAGUGGCAUUAGGCUUCUUAGUGACAACAGGCUUAAAGAGGCGAAGCCUAAAAUCCAGAUGAUUCCGGUUGAUGAAGACCCAACUCAGGCGUUUCUUUUCUCCUGCUACGUUAGGUUAAUUGGUCAGAGGGUGGAGAGGUCAAGCCAACGUUGCACCUAAUAUGGUGUCCAACUCCACCCACGCUGUAUGCUCCUGCACCAGAGAUCUGUAUAUAGUGAUGAGAUGCACAUGCCUCCGCCCUAACUUUGGGAGUUGUUGUCCCAAAGGCGGUAAAGCUUAGGUCAAAAAUAAGCCUAUAGAAACGCACUGGUCUUAUUUUGGACAGAUUUUGGCGAGAGUGAAACGUCUCACUUCGCCACUCCCUCUCUCCCUGCACCCAUCUCAUCAGCUUCACCCUGUUCAGGGGAAUCCAAGAGAGAAAGUUGAUGCACAACAACACUGUCGAACUACUAAGAGGGAAAGGAGUCUGACAGCCACAUCGCGGCCCACACAGUAAAACCCCCUGCCUAACAAAUAUCAUUAAUUACCUGCAUGUCUGCAGCAUGGAAGCCAGCUGUGUUCUGGUGAAGGAGGUCCGACCGGAUUUCCGUUGUUAAAGCAUGGUUCCGGAGGGGAGUUGGGAAGUGCAACCCAUCUGUUCACUGCGGAGGAACACUUUUUGAUUCACAUGUCGACAUUUCAAAGUACCUUUCAUACAUUGAUACUGUUAAUGCUAAAAUAACUGUAUGUAUUUCAAAUCUGAUCAGUACCCUGAAACGUUAUAUCACAAUCAUGUGUAUUGAAAAUGUAUGUCUUGCAAAACUCACCUUCUACCUUACAAUGGACAGCUCCAUACACUGAGUAUACCGCCAUACACUGAUAUACCAAACAUUAGGAACAACUUCCUAAUAUUGAGUUGCACCCUCCCCUUUUGCCCUCACAACAGCCUCAAUUGGUCGGGGCAUGGACUCGGCAAGGUGUCGAAAGCAUUCAACAGGGAUGCUGGCCCAUGUUGACUCCAAUGCUUCCCACAGUUGUCAAGUUAGCUGAAUGUCCUUUAGGUGGGCCAUUCUUGAUACAUGGGAAAUGGUUGAGUGUUAAAAACCCAGCAGCGUUGCAGUUCUUUACACAAAGAGGUGCGUCUGGCACUUACUACCAUACCUCGUUCAAAGACACUUAAAUAUUUUCUUUCCCAUCCACCCUCUGAAUGGCACACAUACACAAUCCAUGUCUGAAUUGUCUCCAGGCUUUAAAAUCCUUUAACCGGUCUCCCCUUCAUUUACACACAGAUUGAAGUGGAUUUAACAAGUGACAUUAAUAAGGGAUCAUAGCUUUCACCUGGUCAGUGUGUCAUGGAAAGACCAGGUGUUCUUAAUGUUUUGUGUACUCAGUUUAUAUUAUUGAGGUAAAACUCCCUCUUGUCACUCUUUUAUUUUUGAAGUUGAUUCAUGAGUUUAUUUAUGUUGCAUUCGGUUCUGCACAGUUUGUUUUAAUUUCAAUUCAGUUUAUUUGUCUAUUUUAAUACUUUUUGGUUUAUCU